UACAGAGGGGGCAAGCGUUGUUCGGAAUUACUGGGCGUAAAGGGCGUGUAGGCGGCCUUCUAAGUCGAACGUGAAAUCCCCGGGCUCAACCCGGGAACUGCGUCCGAUACUGGAUGGCUUGAGUUCGGGAGAGGGAUGCGGAAUUCCAGGUGUAGCGGUGAAAUGCGUAGAUAUCUGGAGGAACACCGGUGGCGAAGGCGGCAUCCUGGACCGACAUUGACGCUGAGGAGCGAAAGCUAGGGGAGCAAACGGG
rnacentral:rRNA from 1 species